GAAGAAGGCAAAUAUUUGAAAACUUUUCUACUUCUAAGGACUUCUUGAGACCAUUUAAGAGACAAGAGGAUCCUACAAAAGCUUCAACAGCAGUUGUCAUAUGGAAUGAAAAUAAAGUGGAGAAAGGAUCUGCAGGGGGAGUCAAAAGAUAAUACACAGUCAACAAGGUAAUUGUAUUAAAUUCAACAUCCUUUAAGAGUUGCCAACUCACAGGUCUUCCCAGAAGAAAAUAUGCCAUUGGGGCUAUUACAUUCAUCUUUACCCCACUAGACUAUCAGACAAACAACUCGUGAAUUUGAAGCUCCUGUUUGGCAUACAUUAUGAAAUGACUGCUGUCUGUCUGUGGAUAAUUACCCAAGAGAAAAACCAUCACUGGAAUUAUGGAACUUUUAAUGUUAAAGAACAUUAAGUAACAUUUACACCAAUACUUUUAUUUCAAAAUUGGAUUAAUUUCAAUCCAAAAGGUGAAGUGGCUUGCCCAAAUCUGGGAAGCUAGGUCAUAGUUCAAAGGUGACAUAAACUAAGGAAAUUAUCCUCAUCUGUUGUCUAGGUUAAUGCUCCAUUAAUUGGCAUCUCUUAUAUUCGUUAUAAAGCCCUUGAGCAAUAUUAACCCUGAGGAAAUUCAUGUUUUAAUAGUGUGAAAUAUUGUGUAUAUGUAUUUACAACACAGUAUGUUUUCCAUGAAAGUAUCAGAAAUAAAACACUGACAAAGAGUAGAAAAAAUGACUUU
rnacentral:lncRNA from 12 species